GGAGAAGGAGGAGGCGGCGAAUCACUUAUAAAUGGCGCCGAAGCAGGACCCGAAGCCUAAAUUCCAGGAGGGUGAGCGAGUGCUGUGCUUUCAUGGGCCUCUUCUUUAUGAAGCAAAGUGUGUAAAGGUUGCCAUAAAGGACAAACAAGUGAAAUACUUCAUACAUUACAGUGGUUGGAAUAAAAAUUGGGAUGAGUGGGUUCCGGAGAGCAGAGUACUCAAAUACGUGGACACCAAUUUGCAGAAACAGCGAGAACUUCAAAAAGCCAAUCAGGAGCAGUAUGCAGAGGGGAAGAUGAGAGGGGCUGCCCCAGGAAAGAAGACAUCUGGUCUGCAACAGAAAAAUGUUGAAGUGUAAGAAGCUCUUUGUUUUGAUUUUGCAUACUAUAUGUGAAGAUAAUAUUUUAUGUUCAUUGUGUGUUAGACUGUGUUGAAAUGGAAACUUUGG
rnacentral:sRNA from 1 species